UCCAGACUCCUACGGGAGGCAGCAGUCGGGAAUAUUGCGCAAUGGAGGAAACUCUGACGCAGUGACGCCGCGUAUAGGAAGAAGGUUUUCGGAUUGUAAACUAUUGUCGUUAGGGAAGAUACAAGACAGUACCUAAGGAGGAAGCCCCGGCUAACUAUGUGCCAGCAGCCGCGGUAAUACAUAGGGGGCAAGCGUUAUCCGGAUUUAUUGGGUGUAAAGGGUGCGCAGGCGGUACGGCGAGUCUGAUGUGAAAACCCGGGGCCCAACCCCGGGACCGCACCGGAUACUGCCGGACUCGAGUGCCGGAGGGGCAGGCGGAAUUCCUGGUGUAGCGGUGAAAUGCGCAGAUAUCAGGAGGAACACCGGUGGCGAAGGCGGCCUGCUGGACGGUAACUGACGCUGAGGCUCGAAAGCGUGGGGAGCGAACAGGAUUAGAUACCCGAGUA
rnacentral:rRNA from 1 species